rnacentral:ncRNA from 1 species
UGAAACGCUUCGACUGGGAGCAUUAAGGAUUUGUGAUUGUCAUAGAGAGCUGCCGCUUCGGUGAAAGGCAGUCAAUCGCUUCCCCAACUCGCCCAUGAGCGGCAAAGCUGAACUGAAGUAAGCUUUGACGGACGCCCCGUAAUCAGCCUUCAAGCGGGUUUAUGUGUAUACAUCAGCCAAUGAGAGUGGUACCACGGAAGGUUAACGCCUGUCGUCUCUUUU